GAUUUUUGUCGUUCGCAUUCUAAAGGUUCUGUUUUCCCACCACCUGCAAGUUACAUGAUUCCCUUGGUGUCGUCGUAACUUCCCCCAAGUUGCAACUUUGUUUGCUUUAAUUGGGAACAGGGGUGGACAGGAGCCCUUGGACUCAUAAAUGACAAGUUAACAUGUUACCUAUCACUUGGAAAUGCUUUCGAAAUAUCGUUAUUAUUCAAUUUGCAACUCUCACAACAUCCUUAGUUUUAGGAUAUCAGGCCCUAUAACUGAUUUAUCUUCUUGUUUUUCAGAAUCUGAGAUGCCACGACAUUUCGAUAUAAUUAACACACCUGGAUUUUACACAUUCCAGAUGUCUGAUCAAUUGGAGGAGACCUUAAUAGGCCUUCCGAUACACAUCUGUACUUUGUGCUAACAAAAGGUGUCAAUUUUUAAUAUAUUUUUACUUAUAAUAAUUGGAGGAAACCUAAAGAGACUCCCCCAAUACACCCUGUACAAAUUAUUAUUAAUGAAGGUGGUCUGUGGAGACCCCACACCAAUAC
rnacentral:lncRNA from 1 species